rnacentral:rRNA from 1 species
AACGAACGCUGGCGGCAGGCCUAACACAUGCAAGUCGAAGGAGAAGCUAUUUCGGUAGUGGAGACUGGCGGACGGGUGAGUAACACGUGGGAACCUGCCCUUCAGUUCGGGAUAACAGUUGGAAACGACUGCUAAUACCGAAUAUUCCCUACGGGGGAAAGAUUUAUCGCUGAAGGAUGGGCCCGCGGUUGAUUAGAUAGUUGGUGGGGUAAUGGCCUACCAAGUCGACGAUCAAUAGCUGGUUUGAGAGGAUGAUCAGCCACACUGGGACUGAGACACGGCCCAGACUCCUACGGGAGGCAGCAGUGGGGAAUAUUGGACAAUGGGGGCAACCCUGAUCCAGCCAUGCCGCGUGAGUGAAGAAGGCCCUAGGGUUGUAAAGCUCUUUCGCUCGUGAGGAUAAUGACUGUAGCGAGUAAAGAAGCCCCGGCUAACUUCG